UAUAAAACAAAUAAUGAAUGUUUUUAUUCGUGCAAUGGUAAGAAUAUUUUCAUUCGGUGAAAGAUGGAAUGUCGCCUCAUUGAAUGGAACAUUCCAUCUUUCACCUUAUGAAAAUAUUCUUACCAUUGCACUCAUAAACAUUCAUUGGCCGUUUUUAUA